CAUUAGCCCUGAUAGCAGCGGUAUCCUUCUUGUUUUUUCUUUAAAAACAAGAAGAUACAAGCGUAUAGCAGGAAAUAGC
rnacentral:sRNA from 1 species